CGCAGCGCGCCGAGGGGAACCUACCGAAGCCGGGGGGUGAGAGGGCCAACCCCGCGUAAGAGUUUGGAAGCGUCCAGGGCGAACAGGAGAGCUGAUGAGCAUCGGCCCCUUCUCCCUGCGCUCCUGCAGCCUUCGGGGUCGGUAGCCGCAGGGACAGCCCGGGGCCUGGUGUACGGCCAUGGACUUACGGUGUUCGGACUCCGUGCCUUGUCACAAUCAGAAAGCAAACUCUGUCUCUACCCGAAGCUCCGAGCCCCUGCGACCUGGCGACCUGAUCUCAGACCAGGCCGGGGGAAACAGCGCCUUCAAGGCCAAGCCGACUCUCCUCGCAGGGCAUGCUCUUUCUAGCGUACCGGCUGAGCUGGGUCCUCCGGCGUGCAGCGCGGCCAGCCUCAACUUAGAGAGCAGCGGUGGCGGUGGCAACUGUGACGCACCAACCAGCGAAUCCCUCCUAGAGGACCGCGAAGUCUCGGAGCAGAUCGGGGCGCAGCUUAAACUGCUGCCUAUGAAUGAUCAGAUCCGGGAGCUGCAGACCAUCAUCCGGGACAAGACAGCCAGUAGAGGGGACUUCAUGUUUUCUGCGGAUCGUUUGAUCAGACUUGUUGUGGAAGAGGGAUUGAAUCAGCUGCCAUAUAAAGAAUGCAUGGUGACCACCCCAACAGGGUACAAGUAUGAAGGAGUGAAAUUUGAGAAGGGAAAUUGUGGGGUCAGCAUAAUGAGAAGCGGUGAGGCAAUGGAACAAGGUUUACGAGACUGCUGUCGAUCCAUACGAAUUGGAAAGAUCCUGAUUCAGAGUGAUGAAGAGACACAAAGAGCCAAAGUAUAUUAUGCCAAGUUCCCCCCAGACAUUUACCGCAGAAAAGUCCUUCUGAUGUAUCCAAUUCUCAGCACUGGAAAUACUGUAAUUGAAGCUGUAAAGGUUCUUAUAGAACAUGGAGUUCAACCCAGUGUUAUCAUCCUACUCAGUCUGUUCUCUACUCCUCAUGAUUGCUAUGGAUGGAAGUUCCCAUACUAUGGUAAAUAACAAUGGUGAGAGUGGACAUCCCUGUUUUGUUCCUGACCAUAGAGGAAAAGCUCUGUUUUUCCCCAUUGACUAUGAUGUUAGCUGUGGGUUUUAAAUAGAUGACCUAUAUUAUGUUCAGAUUCCUUCACUGCCAUAACUUCAAGCCAACAGAUGAUCCUUUCCACUUGGUAAGAUCCACAUGAGCAGUCUCCAUUGGAUUCAGCUGCCUCUGCCUUUUGUAACUCCUAUAUCUAUAUAAGCCUCAACUGACCAAUGUUGAACCAUAGGUAGGGACAUCUCUAUGCCCCUAUUCAGAAGGAAGAAGUUAUAGAAGAUGAGACCUUCCACCCUCAAUAACCUUAAAGAUUUAAGGGUCAAAAUUGUUCAGGGGGGAAUGAUGUGGGAAACAAAUGCAGAAGAAAAAUUAAUAAAU